rnacentral:rRNA from 1 species
CCUACGGGAGGCAGCAGUGAGGAAUAUUGGUCAAUGGGCGGGAGCCUGAACCAGCCAAGUCGCGUGAGGGAAGACGGUCCUAUGGAUUGUAAACCUCUUUAGGCGGGGAGCAAUGCCGGGCACGCGUGCCCGGAGGGAGAGUACCCGCAGAAUAAGCAUCGGCUAACUCCGUGCCAGCAGCCGCGGUAAUACGGAGGAUGCGAGCGUUAGCCGGAUGUAAUGGGGUGAAAGGGUGCGUAGGCGGAUUUUUAAGUCAGCGGUAAAAUGUCGGGGCUCAACCGCGGCCGGGCGGUGGAAAUGGGAGCGCGGGAGUGGCGGAGGGGGAGGCGGAAUGCUUAGUGGAGCGGGGAAAGGCGGAGACAGCAGGAGGAACACCAGUGGCGAAGGCGGCCUACGGGACGGGGACUGACGCUGAGGCUCGAAAGCGGGGGGAGCAAACAGGAUUAGAGACCCGGGUAGUC